rnacentral:rRNA from 1 species
CCCGUGAGGCGACAUACGGGUGAACAAAUGGAGGAGGGAGUUUCCUGGG